UCACGCAUGCCACAUAAAAUAUUUUUACUGUCGCUGGUAUUUACCUCAGAUAACACCUCCCAGCGGUUGCUCGCCUAUGCCACAUCGUAGAUUUAUUGCUGCUGCCCCUGGUUUGACACCUCCCCAAGGUAACAUUACGAAGGCAGCAAACGCACACGAGACAAGCACGCCUUCUCGUCUCCCUUGUACCACCACUCCUUUCCUUCGUCUAGAAGGAAGAAAGAGAGUAGCCUGCCUCGAGCCCCACGCACCCUCUUCUUCCCUCUCCAAAAAAUUAGUUUGUCCCGGCGAUGCGCUGCGCUGCUGCCAUGUAUUCCUUUUCACUCUUCCCCUUCGAGCAGAUCGACUAAUAAGGCGGAGUGGCCGGAGGUGGUGGACCGGUGGAGGCGAGGUAUGUGUGUGGCAUGGCGUAUUAGGCGGCGGUGUAGCACGGUUUCCUUCCGCUAGAUCCGGCGACCUACGAGAUGGCAGCGGUGGUAGGAUGCUGGCGGCAGAGACGCGGAUCAACAUCUACCUCGACGCCGGCAAGUCAGCGGGCGGCGACCGCCCCUCCGUGCUCCUCCCGCCCGUCGCCCAUGGCCCUCCUCCUCAACUCGUUCCUGUCUCCGUCAGGCUGGUCGCUUCCCUCCUUGAUCUAUUAUGUGAACCUCGUUGAGAUUUUUCUUCUUUUCAAAAUUGUCCGUCGGGCAGGUUUGCAUAAAUUGUGAGAUUCUCUUCUUUGUCCAUCAUUCUAUUUGAUAAUCUAUACUUGCAGUUCGACUUGUUAUGGAUGUCUUCUUGCUGUGGCACUUGUCCGAAUGACUUCGUUGAAUCAGGACCAUCUCCAGAUAUUGGAACACUGCUACCAAGAUCUAUUCUUUUCUGUUCUGUGUAAUGUUGGUCUGGCCAUUAAUUGUAGCAUCCAUUCUUCUUGAGCUAUAUGAAAUAGGUCAUACUUGCUCAAGAAUCUUCAGUCUAGUUGGUUCACUUCAGGUAAAUUUUUCGGCUGCUUCAGUUUCUGUACAUUGGCACAAAAGGUUGUUAACUUCUGUUUAGACGAAUUUAACUCUUAAAUUGUUUGACUGUGUUCCAAAAUUGAAGCUAUACCUGGAAUAGAUUGUUCAUUAAAAUGUGUCUCCCCUCUGAUUUUGGAUGGCCUCUCUGGGUCUUGUCCUGCUGAUUCUCUGGAGUUGUCAAAGUUCAGUUGUGUGGACAUUGAGGUGGAUUUUAUUAUGAUGCCUUUGACACAUUGAACUCGGUAGCAAAACAUCUCACUCAGUAACUAAAUUAGAGUUCGAUCUUUUACGUUUGUGUUGUCUUUUUGCAUUUUUGUUUCGAUCCGACAUCAGAUCUGAGUUAUUGCUUUCGGAAAUUGAGCGCUUGGUUACCCUUUUGAUCCCCAACUCCAAGCCUAUCAACUUGAACCUGCAGCCAAAGCUAAUGAAUACAAAUGCAAAUCAAAUGCGAAGAAAUCAAUCAGCUGAAUUUCUUGCUGUUGUAGAAAAGUGAUAUGAAUAAGGGUUUCAAGUUGGACUUCCUCAAGUUCAAAAAACAUAUACAGAAUUUUGUGUCUUUUAUUGAGAGGAAUAAAGCUCACAAUGCAAAGAUGAAUUUUGUCCCGAUGGAAGAUCUCCUAUUGGCCUUGUGCAGUUCAUGUGGUGAACUAGCCAAGACGAUUGGUUGUGUAGGUAUCAACUGUUUAAAUGUUCAUCAAGUUUUGCAUCCUUCUCUAGAUGCUAUGUAAAACUAGGUCUCUCUUUUUAUCCACCCUGUGAGAGCAUGCAGCCAUGCACCAGAUUAUUCUUUUGGCUACACCCCUAGCAUAGCCGUUUGUGACGGGAUUGGCAUGUGGCAGUGCCCAAAAGUGUGUGAUAGGAGGUUACAUCGUGCAAAAUUAUGUAUCUUAGCUACUUGUGAGAAUCCAACAUUGAAAUACAUUCUGCUGAAAACUAAUUCAUGAGGUUCGAUAGUGAUUUCUGGCAUCCUAUUAUAGAGAAGUCAGUUGAUAGAACUAGAUAGUACUGCUUACAGGAUGAUACCUGAAUGAAAUUUGAGUGCUUUGAUCUACUAAUUUUCUUAUGUUCCAAAUUUUCUUUUCUGUUCUUAGACUACAUCUGUAGAUCCCUAUGUUUUCAAGAUCACUUCCGUUUUCAACCCAUCUCAGUAUGUUGAACAGAUGGUUGCAUCAAGAGUAGGAUUUACAAUAAGAUUUGAGGGCAUGGCCACGAUCGAAUUUCUCACAAAUGGGGCACUGAUUAGAGAAAUGAUGUGUUAUCCUCUUCUGAGAAAAUAUAGGUGCCAUGUUAUGACCCUGCCUGAAGUAAUCAAUCUUAGUGGCAAUGCAUCCCCAAUAAGUGGUGGUAAAAGGUAAGUAAAAACGAUAGUUUGGAGAAAUCUGGAGAUAUUAUUGUUAAACAUGAGAUAUAUCACCAAGGCUAGGUGCGCCCAACCAACCUCCUGCCGUGAGGAUCAAGGAGUAGUUAGGAGAUAUACUUUGUACUUUAACUUUGUAUCUUCUCUUCCUAUCUUCUCCAUGUAAAUCUCCCCCAUGGUUGAUCUCCAACAGCCACACCUUGUACCUGAAGUUAUUAUCAAUACAUAAAUAUGCGGGCUCCCAUGUAUGGGGGUUUGAGACGCUUCAUACAACUUUGAUAUGGUAUACAGAGCCUACCUCUUCCCCUACGUCUAGCCUCCAUCCUUCCUGCCGCAACCCUCCUAAGCCGUC